rnacentral:rRNA from 1 species
GUGUCAGCAGCCGCGGUAAUACGAGAGGCCCAAACGUUAUUCGGAAUUACUGGGCUUAAAGAGUUCGUAGGCGGCGCGGAAAGUAGGGUGUGAAAGCCCUCGGCUCAACCGAGGAAUUGCGCUCUAAACUGCCGUGCUUGAGGAAGCUAGAGGUGAGCGGAACUGAUGGUGGAGCGGUGAAAUGCGUUGAUAUCAUCAGGAACACCGGAGGCGAAGGCGGCUCACUGGGGCUUUUCUGACGCUGAGGAACGAAAGCCAGGGUAGCGAACGGGAUUAGAUACCCCGGUAGUCCUGGCCGUAAACGAUGAGCACUAGGCCGGAGGGCUGCACAGCUUUUCGGCCGUAGCUAAAGUGUUAAGUGCUCCGCCUGGGGAGCAUGGUCGCAAGGCUGAA